GGGACACGUGGUAUCCUGUCUGAAUAUGGGGGGACCAUCCUCCAAGGCUAAAUACUCCUGACUGACCGAUAGUGAACCAGUACCGUGAGGGAAAGGCGAAAAGAACCCCGGCGAGGGGAGUGAAAAAGAACCUGAAACCGUGUACGUACAAGCAGUGGGAGCACCUUCGGGUGUGACUGCGUACCUUUUGUAUAAUGGGUCAGCGACUUAUAUUCUGUAGCAAGGUUAACCGUAUAGGGGAGCCGCAGGGAAACCGAGUCUUAACUGGGCGUUAAGUUGCAGGGUAUAGACCCGAAACCCGGUGAUCUAGCCAUGGGCAGGUUGAAGGUUGGGUAACACUAACUGGAGGACCGAACCGACUAAUGUUGAAAAAUUAGCGGAUGACUUGUGGCUGGGGGUGAAAGGCCAAUCAAACCGGGAGAUAGCUGGUUCUCCCCGAAAGCUAUUUAGGUAGCGCCUCGUGAAUUCAUCUUCGGGGGUAGAGCACUGUUUCGGCUAGGGGGUCAUCCCGACUUACCAACCCGAUGCAAACUACGAAUACCGAAGAAUGUUAUCACGGGAGACACACGGCGGGUGCUAACGUCCGUCGUGAAGAGGGAAACAACCCAGACCGCCAGCUAAGGUCCCAAAGUCAUGGUUAAGUGGGAAACGAUGUGGGAAGGCACAGACAGCCAGGAUGUUGGCUUAGAAGCAGCCAUCAUUUAAAGAAAGCGUAAUAGCUCACUGGUCGAGUCGGCCUGCGCGGAAGAUGUAACGGGGCUAAACCAUGCACCGAAGCUGCGGCAGCGACACUAUGUGUUGUUGGGUAGGGGAGCGUUCUGUAAGCCUGCGAAGGUGACCUGUGAGGGUUGCUGGAGGUAUCAGAAGUGCGAAUGCUGACAUAAGUAACGAUAAAGCGGGUGAAAAGCCCGCUCGCCGGAAGACCAAGGGUUCCUGUCCAACGUUAAUCGGGGCAGGGUGAGUCGACCCCUAAGGCGAGGCCGAAAGGCGUAGUCGAUGGGAAACAGGUUAAUAUUCCUGUACUUGGUGUUACUGCGAAGGGGGGACGGAGAAGGCUAUGUUAGCCGGGCGACGGUUGUCCCGGUUUAAGCAUGUAGGCUGGUUGUCCAGGCAAAUCCGGAUAAUCAAGGCUGAGGUGUGAUGACGAGGCACUACGGUGCUGAAGUAACAAAUGCCCUGCUUCCAGGAAAAGCCUCUAAGCAUCAGGUAACAUCAAAUCGUACCCCAAACCGACACAGGUGGUCAGGUAGAGAAUACCAAGGCGCUUGAGAGAACUCGGGUGAAGGAACUAGGCAAAAUGGUGCCGUAACUUCGGGAGAAGGCACGCUGGUGUGUAGGUGAAGUCCCUGCGGAUGGAGCUGAGACCAGUCGAAGAUACCAGCUGGCUGCAACUGUUUAUUAAAAACACAGCACUGUGCAAACACGAAAGUGGACGUAUACGGUGUGACGCCUGCCCGGUGCCGGAAGGUUAAUUGAUGGGGUUAUCCGUAAGGAGAAGCUCUUGAUCGAAGCCCCGGUAAACGGCGGCCGUAACUAUAACGGUCCUAAGGUAGCGAAAUUCCUUGUCGGGUAAGUUCCGACCUGCACGAAUGGCGUAAUGAUGGCCAGGCUGUCUCCACCCGAGACUCAGUGAAAUUGAACUCGCUGUGAAGAUGCAGUGUACCCGCGGCAAGACGGAAAGACCCCGUGAACCUUUACUAUAGCUUGACACUGAACAUUGAGCCUUGAUGUGUAGGAUAGGUGGGAGGCUUUGAAGCGUGGACGCCAGUCUGCGUGGAGCCAACCUUGAAAUACCACCCUUUAAUGUUU
rnacentral:rRNA from 1 species